rnacentral:lncRNA from 1 species
GAGAUCAGGCCCAUAGUCGUUUGCUUCCCAUUUUUAGGGAGCUUCACUCAUCGGUUGUAUUCGUACACGGAACAGCUGCUAGUUCCUUUUUUUCAACAAACUACUGGCUCUGAGU